GACAUCCAGAGAACUUGGCAGAGAUGCUUUGGUGCCUUCGGGAACUCUGAGACAGGUGCUGCAUGGCUGUCGUCAGCUCGUGUUGUGAAAUGUUGGGUUAAGUCCGCAACGAGCGCAACCCCUAUCCUUUGUUGCCAGCGAUUCGGUCGGGAACUCAAAGGAGACUGCCGGUGAUAAACCGGAGGAAGGUGGGGAUGACGUCAAGUCAUCAUGGCCCUUACGAGUAGGGCUACACACGUGCUACAAUGGCGCAUACAAAGAGAAGCGACCUCGCGAGAGCAAGCGGACCUCAUAAAGUGCGUCGUAGUCCGGAUCGGAGUCUGCAACUCGACUCCGUGAAGUCGGAAUCGCUAGUAAUCGUAGAUCAGAAUGCUACGGUGAAUACGUUCCCGGGCCUUGUACACACCGCCCGUCACACCAUGGGAGUGGGUUGCAAAAGAAGUAGAUAGCUUAACCUUCGGGAGGGCGUUUACCACUUUGUGAUUCAUGACUGGGGUGAAGUCGUAACAAGGUAAGCGUAGACGU
rnacentral:rRNA from 1 species